CAAAAAUGUAAACAGUCAAAAAAAGUUUUACCAAAAAGAUCUAUAACUUGAUGGCUGCAGAAAGGGAAACAUUGGUUAAAGAUUGCCUGUCAAAGUUCCUAAAAAAGCAUGAUUUACAUGAUAGCAUAGAUGCCAUUUGAUGAGAUAAUGUUGAGUUAUGUCAUCAGUAUCUUGGAAGAUUUAGGAGAUGACCAGAAUGCUGAGGAGAAUAUUGAUGUGGACCAGUUUACGGAGAUGAUGGAUGCAUACAUUCCUGGAUUAAGUAGCAUUGACAGGACUUCAGAUCCAUCCAUGUCGUAUGGCAUUUUUGUGAGAAGUGGAUAUUCAUGAAGGACCUGUAGUACAAAGUAUAUCACUGGAUUGAGCUCUUUGUCUAAGUUUAUUAUUUAAGUGCUUUGCUUUGAGCUCAGUUCAUUGUUAUGCAAUUCAUUCUUUGUGAA